rnacentral:rRNA from 1 species
UACGUAGGGAGCAAGCGUUGUCCGGAAUCAUUGGGCGUAAAGAGCGUGUAGGCGGCCAUGCAGGUCCGUUGUGAAAACUCGAGGCUCAGCCUCGAGACGUCGAUGGAAACCGCAUGGCUAGAGUCCGGAAGAGGAGAGUGGAAUUCCUGGUGUAGCGGUGAAAUGCGCAGAUACUCAGGAGGAACACCGGUGGCGAAGGCGCACAUCUGGCCCGAUACUGACGCUGAGGCGCGAAAGCUAGGGGAGCAAACGGG